rnacentral:tRNA from 1 species
GCCCGGUUAGCUCAGUCGAGAGAGCUUUCGCUCUAUUAGCGAGUUGUCCCCGGUUAGAGUCCGGGACUGGCCG